rnacentral:rRNA from 1 species
GACGAACGCUGGCGGCGUGCUUAACACAUGCAAGUCGAACGGUGAAGGGGUCUGCUUUUGUGGGCCCUGGAUGAGUGGCGAACGGGUGAGUAACACGUGAGUAACCUGCCCCCUUCUUCUGGAUAACCGCAUGAAAGUGUGGCUAAUACGGGAUAUUCUGGGUCUGUCGCAUGAUGGGUCUGGGAAAGAUUGCGCCUUUGGGUGUUUUUGGUGGGGGAUGGGCUCGCGGCCUAUCAGCUUGUUGGUGGGGUGAUGGCCUACCAAGGCGGUGACGGGUAGCCGGCCUGAGAGGGUGGACGGUCACACUGGGACUGAGACACGGCCCAGACUCCUACGGGAGGCAGCAGUGGGGAAUAUUGCACAAUGGGCGCAAGCCUGAUGCAGCGACGCCGCGUGAGGGAUGGAGGCCUUCGGGUGGUAAACCUCUUUCGCCAGUGAAGCAGGCCUGCUCCUGGUGGGUGGGUUGACGGUAGCUGGAUAAGAAGCGCCGGCUAACUACGU